UUUGUUUGUCCAAUAUAAAGCAAUGUUCAGUAUAAGUGAACUAUGUUGUAUGUUUUGCUGCCCGCCCUGUCCUGGGCCGAUUGCUGCUAAGUUGGCAUUUCAACCUCCAGACCCAACAUAUAAAUUAACACCAGCAGACGGAAAUAACACGAAAUAUAACAUACAGUUUUUUGAUAGGGCGGAGUGGCAAUAUUCAGAAAGGGAUAAGUCCAAAGUGGAAGCAUUUUUUACCCGAACCUCUCGUGGCAACCUGAUAACAUGUAUAUAUGUUCGUUGCAGUAAGAACGCAAAAUUCACUCUGCUGUUUUCACAUGGGAAUGCGGUUGACCUGGGACAGAUGAGCAGUUUUUACAUAUCACUAGGUUCACAACUAAAUUGUAAUAUUUUUGGAUAUGAUUACUCCGGAUAUGGAAUGAGCGGGGGUAAGCCGUCGGAAAAAAACCUGUAUGCUGAUAUUGAAGCGGCAUGGCAAUCAAUGAGGACCAGAUUUAAUAUCAAUCCUGAAUCCAUUAUUCUCUAUGGACAAAGUAUUGGCACUGUACCUACUGUAGAUUUAGCAACGAGGCAUGAAGUCGGAGCUGUAAUACUUCAUUCCCCACUCAUGUCGGGCCUUAGAGUUGUUUUUAGGAACACAAAACGGACAUGGUUUUUUGAUGCAUUUCCUAGCAUUGACAAGGUUUCAAAAGUAAAGUCUCCCGUUUUGGUUAUACAUGGAACUGAAGAUGAAGUAAUCGAUUUUUCCCAUGGAAUUGGUAUUUACGAAAGAUGUCCAAAAGCUGUUGAGCCACUUUGGGUAGAGGUAAGC